GUGGCAAAGUUCAUUGAGACUUCAUUCUCUCUAUUGCUCAUUGUCACCUAUCAAAAAUACUAGCAUUAAUCAGCUUCCUUAAAUGAGCAACAAAAACUCCAAAAAAAUUUAUCUACUCUCAUUCAAUUAAAUAUGAUCUAGCUUAAUGAGACCUAAUUAUCUAUUGCUAGACUUUAAAUUCUAUCCAUUAUCAAACCUAUUAUUUUGAUACCAUAAAAUGUCACAUCUCAAAUUCAAAAUA
rnacentral:lncRNA from 1 species